rnacentral:rRNA from 1 species
GCAAGUUGCGCCCGAAGCCUUUAGGCCGAGGGCAAGUCUGCGUGGGCGUCACGCACCGUUGCCCCCCAAACCCCCUCAGUCCUCCACGGAGGAUUGGCGAGGCGCGUGGGGGGCGUAAAGUGGCUUCCCGUCGGCUUUGUCCCGCGGUUGGCCUAAAAAUGAAUCCCUAGCCGCGGUGCGCGCGGCAUUCGGUGGUCAUCGAUCCCUUUCGUUACCCCGCCGCGCGCUCACGUGCCGCGAAGGAUGUCACACUAGUAAACCCGACGCCUCGCUUUGUGAAGAGCGGAGCUUACAACGCGACCCCAGGUCAGGCGGGGCUACCCGCUGAA